ensembl:lncRNA
CACACACUCAGAACGCAAGGCCUAUGGGAAGCAUUGAUGCUGCAAACACGCCACGCACAGAGCAAGGAAGGGAGCAAAUUCAGUCCCUGAUACAGAGAAGGCAAACGCAUCCUAAUCAUUCGCGCCUGCGGCACCGGGAUGGGUGGAGGUCUGGGGGCUGAGCUGAGGAUGCAGGCAUCACGCUGAUGCUCCAGGCCAAUUGGUUGCCUGCCUUCCACCGUUAUCUUCUCUCUCCCUUCUCCGGCUGUCUCUGCAUCUCUCCUCGUCCUCUGUCUUCCCUAAACUCGUGAAGAAUGAUUAGCAUACGGGAGGCGAGAGGAACUUUCCAGCGCGAGUGAACAGGAGAACAAGUGCGCAAAAGGAAGGACGCUGGAAAAUACCAUCAGCAGCGAUUGGAAAGUUUGAGCGAAGACCACAUUUCCAGACUGAAAAUGAAAUUGGAGGAGGUGUAGUGACCUCUUAUCAGUCGUCUAACAUAGAGGGCCGUGGGGCAAACAGAGGUCUGAACCAAAGAGUGAUUACACCGGCAAUUACAUCAGAUGGAGGUGGAUGUAGCAGAGGAGAAGCGCCAUUGCACACGCUCAAAAGUUCCCCUGGAACCAGCCAUACAAGAGUUGUUCAGUGUGUAUGGCUGUCCUGUCGCCAAGAAGAGAAAACCCCUGGACACUCAUGCCCUGGAGCCCUCGCCCAAGAGGAAGGUCUUUCUUACAGUCGUAGAGCAGCCGUCAAUGGAGAAAUGCUACAAAACGCACAAAAUGGAGGAGAUGGAUGAAAAAGAGGAGGAAGAGGAGGAGGAGCAGGAGGAGGAGGA